AGUGAACGCUGGCGGUAGGCCUAACACAUGCAAGUCGAACGGCAGCACAGUAAGAGCUUGCUCUUACGGGUGGCGAGUGGCGGACGGGUGAGGAAUACAUCGGAAUCUACUUUUUCGUGGGGGAUAAUGUAGGGAAACUUACGCUAAUACCGCAUACGACCUACGGGUGAAAGCAGGGGAUCUUCGGACCUUGCGCGAUUGAAUGAGCCGAUGUCGGAUUAGCUAGUUGGCGGGGUAAAGGCCCACCAAGGCGACGAUCCGUAGCUGGUCUGAGAGGAUGAUCCGCCACACUGGAACUGAGACACGGUCCAGACUCCUACGGGAGGCGGCAGUGGGGAAUAUUGGACAAUGGGCGCAAGCCUGAUCCAGCCAUACCGCGUGGGUGAAGAAGGCCUUCGGGUUGUAAAGCCCUUUUGUUGGGAAAGAAAAGCAGCAGGUUAAUACCCCGCUGUUCUGACGGUACCCAAAGAAUAAGCACCGGCUAACUUCGUG
rnacentral:rRNA from 1 species